GCUUGUCUUCAUUGCAAUGCAUGAAGUCUGUGGAGAGAAACCCUGGUGAUGCUGGGGGCUUCUGCUGGCCCCAGCUGAACUUGCACUGGGCCUUGGAGCUGGAUCCUGGCUGCAGAAAAGCAGCUGUGCAUUGAGCUCAUGCAAUUCUGCUGUACCUGCAUGAGAGCCCAGCACAACAAAGACAAGCUUGGAGAAGGAAGCACAAACCAUGGAAAACACAAGGAAUAAUCCCAGAUGGUUCCCAGCUCCUGUGUAUUUCUUGGGACUCUCCAGUGCACCACCAAAACUUUUUUUGCUACUUCAGUAGGGCAUUCUGCUUUAUAAUCCCAAGAACAUCAUUGCCUGUAGUUACCACAGGCAGGCAGGAGAAGCUGUGUAAGGACUUGAGCCUGCAGCUCACUGCCAGAGCUAUCCCAGGCACCCCCAAACCAGCUGAACACAGCCAGGACAGGCAAUUGUACAGGAAUGAACCUCCAAUUCACAUUAAUAGCUCCAAACCUGAAAUUGCCACAGGCUAAUUAUGGAAACUUUGAGGAGUAAAAUUAUCUUAAUAAUUUAACUGUGUAAACACAGUGACUCACAUACUAAGGGUGGAAUAACAGUCUCCUGAGCAGUGCUUUCACCUGUGAGCCAGAAGCUGGCUUCUCCACACCUUUGCCUUGAGAUAGGGAAAUCUGCAUGAGGAAGAAAGGAAAGUUAUGGCUCUGUGGUAGUACUUUGCUCCAGUGAUAAUUCCCUGGGUUUUACAGAGCUAUUUGCCCAACUUUCUGUACUUCUACCCGAAUUUAAAUAUUUUUUACUACAUAAUAAUAUAUAUUUAUAUAGAAAUACCAUGUAUUUAGUUAUAAGCCUCUUUUUUCAUCCUCAACUCAGCAUCCCCUGGCUGCAUCUGGAAUCACACCUUUGUCCAUUCACAUUCAUGUCAAGGCAGAACAGCACCAGAGCUGGUGAACUUCAAGUGAAAUCUAAUAUAUUGUGUUUGGGAGAGAAAAAUCGUCCACUGUAGAACACCUGAGCAGGUGGUUGUCUUGGGGUGAUUAAUGAUGACGAUCUAUUCCAUGGCGUGCCGCUUCGUGCCCCAAAGUGGCUGCAGUACCUUUAAGGUGUGUGGCCGGGGCAGGGGGGAGCCCUGAGCUCUUUGGCGGCUUUUCCCAAUCCUCACUCCCCAAAAACAAAGUGCGGUGCAGUCUGCUUUUGCCUGGCUAGCUUGGUUUGGUUUGGUUAGCCCAGGCAAGAAGCUUUUCCCUUCCCUGGGCCUGCAGAAGCUGCAGCAGCAAUCCUUCAGCUGCCUCUGAGGCGAGCGGGACAGCCCCCGAGCCCGAGGCAGGAGACGCGGCACCUGUGGCACAGGGGCCGCUCCGUUCCGGCCCCGCACCUCGGGAAGCCGAGCCGGGGAGAGAAAUGAAACCAAGAGGCUCCAGCCCAGCUGUUUCCUCUGCUGUGGAGAGGAGGUCGCUGCCAGAGAGUCAGCAGGUUUUCAUCUGUUGCCCGAACUGCUGCGUGAAGCUCCUGUUUGUUCGGGGAUUUUGCCUGAGGGAGACGCCGGCGCCAUCUUGUACCGCGGCUCACAUCCUCAGCAGCACUAAAAUCCUGUUUAUCUGGAGAGCUUCCACCACCCAGGACCCAACCUCCUGCAAUGGCCUGGCCUUUGCACCUUGGAGAGCUGGACAAGGGGACACCUCAGCUCAAGUGGCCUCUGGGGACACCCCAUGCCAGCUCACACACCCCAGCCCCUCCAGCCUGCAGUGCAUCACAGCCUUCCUCUGCUCUUCCUCCUCCUAGCUUCCUUCUUCCUGCCUGCACAGGACUCAGGAGCCAGGCCUGUGCUGCCACCCAAAGACAUUCUGCAGGGCAAGCAAACACGAGAGGAACUCUGCAAAGAUGGGAUGGCUGCAGGGUCACCCAUUUCAACUGAGUUCCUCCCCUUCCCUCCCCUUUUCUAUUGGCCUCCUUUAAUUUCCUUUCCACACCAAUGUAAGCCUCUGUGACCUUACUCUUUUAUUUUUGUGAUCCUCUAUGCAAAACCCAUCCACGCAUUUAACAGAUUUCUUGGGAUGUGAAACCUUGUAUGUCUUGUGACUUGGGCAUAGUGGCAGGAUUUUUAAGCAGUGCUACUAAAAAAAAAAUACAAAACAAAGGAAGACUGGCGUUCCAACCCACACCUGCCUGUAGGCAAGUCAGAGGAUGGUUCUUUUAUGAGGGAAUCUGCCACUUUGAAAGACUGGGAAAUCAGUCACAAGACAGGUUGGGAAUAUAGAAAAUGAUAAAUGGGUCUCUCUUAUCACAUCAUGACAGUGAAACAGGUGAAAGGAAAUUUUAAGCUGUGAAAAUCUAUUUUUCUUUAAUUUAUUUUUCCCUAUGACUUGCAAUGAGCAUGCCCCAGAAAUUCCCAAGGGCAAAAAUACAUCAAGAUUCAGAGAAAGACUGAGUUGAUAUGGACAGCAAGAAUAUCAGGAUUCAUUAGAAUUAAUGUCAGUAAAAAUGUCAUCAGGUAUAUUAAACUCCCUGCUCCAGGGUGCAGAAAACAUUUGAGCCAUUAGAUCCAGCAGGAGUGGGGAGAAGAAGGGUGGGGAGGCAGAUCCAGCCUCAGCCCUCCCUGAGGAUCCAUCACGGGUUUCUGCAGCAGGCGGAUGACGUGAGACAGGCACGUGUGUCUCACACGGCUGUUCCCUUGCACUGGGAGACAGGGCAGGGCCCCACAGCCACGGCCACCUUGGUGCUGCCAGGUUCUGGCCCUGCCAGUGCAGGGUGCUCGAUGCUGGGAGCACCUUCCUUCCCUGCAGAAAUUGCAGGAGGAGGUCAGAGAUGAGCUGUGACCCUUGCGUCUGCAGCACAGGAGAGGUGCCCGUGCUCACUUUGGGGAUGGCUGCACUGCCAUGGAAAGCCUCUGUCUGUAUCUCAGAGAAGAGAGGUGGAGUAUGUAUAUAAAUAUAUACAUUCCCAUUACCAACCUGUUCCAUGCAAGCACAGUAGGGCUCACACCAAGACAGUUUCACUUCAAUAUCUCCAAAGCCUCUGUUUUCACUCUUACUGUAACAAAUUUGGAAGUCCUAAUAAGCCUGGAGAGGAUCUCAAUACAAAUUCAAGCUCCCAGCUACAUUUCUUGUUUGAGAUUAGACAAAUCAAUCUUUUAGUAUCUUUUUAUCUUCUAAUUGUGCAUCCAUAUGGUUCACAGCUGCACUCAUUCAAGGGAUGCUGCCUGCCUUUAGGGCCUGUGUUCAUGUGUUUCUGUUCACAGUCAUGGGCUUUUGGGGAAGUCAGGAUUGGGCUCUUAUGCUAGCAAAGGGGCUGGUGUCACGAAGGGAAAUUCAGGUGCUGUCUUUUGGUGGUAUCACCCUAAAAACCUCUUCUGCUAUGGUUCCACCCAGCUAAUGAUCUAGUGCUCUUGAACAUCAAGCAGCAUUAAGUCACCCUGUCCCCUUUCUCAGACUGCCUUGACCAGGCUGUGUGGAGGCCAUGACCCCUCUGACCUUGCUGAGUUCUGCCCUUCCUCCUUGCAAGGUUUUCAGGGCCCUGUGGAGGGCUGGGAAUGCUGGAAUCCCCUUACACAAGGGCACAAACUCUGCCAGCUGCCUGCACUUGCUCCUUGGUGGCUUGAGGCUGUCACUUCACGUGCUCACACAUGGCUUCAGCCCUCAGUCACCUCUUUGUGCCCCCCAUCACAGCUGUUUCUCCAGCAUGCAGCCAUUUCCCACAUCCAGUCCAAGCUCCCGUGGGUUUCUGCUUGCUACCCCAGGAAAACUUAGGGGCCAAAUCAAAGGGGCAUUGAAAUAAUGUGUAACUGAACACUUGUCAAGGAACUUGAUAUCUUGAUAGCAACAAGUGGGAGCUGCCACUCAGGCUCAGAGCCUCAAGCCAUCUAGUCAGCAGUGCUUUUAGGAGCAGCAAUUGCUCCAAAAUUGCCAGCAAUUGCUGGCUGCGCCUGCAAGGAGCAAACAUGCCUAAGAGCAGAAAAGGAUUAUGUGGCCCCCAGGAAAGCCAUCAAUCCUUGGCUGGUUACACCCCUAGCUAACACCUGGAGAACUGUGAGCUUGCACCAGCUCUGUAGUACCAGCUUGUCUUUAUCCUGCUGGGGGUGCAACUCCAGAUUUCUGGGGGACCCCCUUCUCUCUACCUCCAGCUGUGCUCCUGGGCACCGUGGCAUAAUGUGGAAAGGCGUUCAAAGUACAAAGCCUUCAGUUUCUUGCACUUUUCUACUGCCAGCCCAUGGUGUCUGCAGAUUGUGUGCAGGGAAUAGUUGGUAAAAAAAUGAAACACAAAUUUGUAGUGGAGUUUCCCUCCACUACAUCAAUAAUGCAGAGCCCAAAACUCAAAUGUCCAGGAAAUUGGUAGGGCACCCUUUUGAAAGCUAAAAUAUUUUGGGGGUUCUGGGCUGUCUGGUUGGUUCUGAGCCUUCUGAUUGCUGAUGGCAAUUUUGGGGUCUUAUUCAUGUUGCAAAAGGCUAGCCUCUCAUCUGGCUGUACCAUAAGGCCUGGUGACUGCCUCACUCUGUUCCUCAGAGGAGUAAGAGAAGGAGUCAUCUCCAGAAGCCACUACACAUUUCUUCUCUGGGCUAGGCACCCUUUUUUAUGGAUACUGAGCUCACACCCUGUCUCACUUCCCACUUAUGAGUGUUUUUCUCUGUCUUAGCAUCCUGCAGGGAGCAGAGUGAUCCCAAAGACUGGUCUGCUGCAGUUUGUGAGCACCCAUUUUUGCCUUCCUGGACCACACACUGGAGUCUGGGGAUGUGGGAUGAGACCUGUCUCAGCAGCUGGAUCCAGAUGGGAAGGCAGGCAGGAAGGAAGGAAGGAAGGCAGGAAGGGAGGCAGGAAGGGUGGGCUGGUUCUGGUAGUAGGGCAGGAGUCCUGAAUUCAUGCUGCUGAGGUUCUUGGUCCUGUUGAAGGAGGAGAUGGAGCAGAAGCAUGGCUUAUUCAGCUCAAUUUGUAACAGCUCCACCUAAGGAAAAUGAAGACAAGAGGAAAAGAGAGGUAUGGAUUUUUUAUAGUGUGGUCGCAUUGAACUUCUCGUCCUGUUCCUACAGUGGUGGUAAGAAAAGAAGGUAUGUUUAGACCUGAUGCCUUUGCAGUAGAGCCAGGGGGCCCAUGGGGGAUUGUGUGGUACAGCCAGGACUCCUGGCAUAAAUGUCCUGGCAUCUAGUCCUGGUUCAGGCAGUGGGAAGAAAGAGCUGGAAAGAGCAUGGCCUUGCACAGGAGCUAUGCACAGCCCAGCCUGCGCUGCAAGAGGGAGAAUAAGCAUCAGCUACUUCCCUCACCCCUGGCCAUGCAGGACAGGCUCUUUCAGAUUUUAAUCCCCCUCUUGCCGAGCUUUUCUUUCUGCCCCUGUCUCUUCAUCAGAGAGGAGCAGCUGCAACCCUCUAAUAGCCUCUAAUAGUUUGUUCUUAGCAGCUGUCGGUGGUAUUUUGGUGCUGCCUCCUCUCUCCUGUUGCUGAGGUGGCUAUUUCCCCACUGCAGAGCUGCCUGCCUGGGCUUUCUCCUCCCCACUGAGCCGUGGCCAGCUGCAGGAAGGUCACUGGGGACUUCAGGAAUUAAUUUUACUGGAAACCACAUCCAGUAACCAAGACACAGUCUGGAGUGGGAGAAGAAACUAGAUCCAAUUGGUCAUAUGGGAAGAAAAAAGUGUGGGAAAGGUUUGCAAUUGCUUUUUUUCAAUGAAAAUUUAAGAGAUGGGUAAAGGAGAAGGAAGUAAAUUAAAACUGUUGAGCAGUGAGAGGAGAGAUUUUGCAACAGUUUCCCCAGGACCUUGUCUGCCAGUGUUUUCACUUCUCUUAGUCUUGUAUUUCAAAAGCUCUGGAGCUCCCCUUAAUGCACAAGGAAACAAACCAAGGUCCCUGUCCCACACUGUGAUACCUCUCCACCAUGUUUUGCUUGCAUCCCAAAGAGUUCAUCUCCUCACUUCCCUGUUGUGCAUCUCUCUGACUGGUCUAGUCCUGGCCCUGGUGCACACAUGUGAAGAGCUUCUGUUGGAAUAAAAACCCAAGAUUUUCUGAUACUUGGAUAUAAAUGGAAGUUCAAUGUUGCAUGUACAAUGUCUCUUAUUGUGUUUUGCUCCAUUCUGUUCUAGGUAAUUUUGUUCUACUUUGCAUCUCUAGUAUUUUUGGACUCUGUUGCACAUGUGGUGCACAUAGGGAGACCUGCUGGAGUGAAAGGGGAAUAUUUUCUCUUACUAUGAUAUAAAUGGAAUGUAGGAAGGGCUUAUGUUUGAGGGAAAGAGCAGGAUUUUAUAUUACUGGGAUAAAAAUUGAAGUGAAAUGUUCUGUAGAAAAUAUAUUGUCUUGGGUUCCUCUCUCUUUUGAGAAUAAAUUCCAGAAAAGACAUUUCAUUUGACUGUGUGCCAAAUAAGAUAGGAACUAUUGGGUUGUGAUAAGGCAGUUUAGUAAAGCAUAAAAAGGGAAAAAAAGUUUUCUUGUAUCUAAGCAAAGGGAAACAUUCAUCUCUAAUUCCCAUCAGUAAGGAUGCUCUGGAAGGCAAACAAUGUGGAAUAACAAAUGCGCUCUAUUCCUUCUCCCUCCCUUAGCUUUUAUAUCUGAGCUGAUGUCAUAUAGGUAUGGAAUGUCCCUUUGAUUGCUUUGGGUCAUCUGGCCUGGAUGUGUCCUCUCCCAGGACCUUGCCCACUCCCAGGCCCUUCAUGGGGAAGAAGGAAUGCCACAGGGACAGCGCUGCUCAGCAGUAGCCAAAAUGCAAGUUCUGUUAACUCCCACCUCCCAUGGCCUCUUUCAUUCUCUGGUAACUCAAAUGGUGGUGCUUCUCAGGCACAAGUUGUCUUCUCAGGACCUGUUCCAAAACCUCUGCCUUCUGGCCAGCUCGUAAUCUCUUCUAGGAUUCCUAGGAAAUAGGGUUUUCCCAUUCGGGCUCAUGGUGUGAUCAAUGCUACCCACUUACUCCAUCUAGCGCUGGUUAUGUGAUGUGCUGGGGGAUGUUUCCUUGGAACAUCCUGUGUAGGACAGGCAGUUGUGGUACCAAAAGGAGUUGCUUCUGUCCCAGCAGCUCCUGAGGUGGCUUGAACUCCCUCAUAGGCUGGAGUUUUCAUUGGGAAUAUAGUGGGUUUCUGGUCCUCAAUAAUUCCAGCUCCAAAACUGUAAUGGUUGACCUUAGAUUUCUCCUGAGGUCCUUUGCCGGAGGCUCCAGGUAAGCCCCUGCUCCCUGGCUGCAGUGUAGGGUGUAUUUUGCACCUCUCCAUCUCCACAGCAGACACUCUCAUUCCAAACAAACUCGUUAACUCACUGUCAUUCACCAAAGAGAAAUCACUCAGCAAGGUGGGAGCCAAUAUUGGUGAAGCCAGGUCAGAACAGGGCAAACAUGGGGAAGGAGCAAGGUGGAGAGGCUGCUGCUUCAUUAAAUCCAGCAUAACUCCGGAAGACUGGAGAUUUGGAAAAUCCAGCUGUCAGAGUCACAAUGAGAACUGCUCCCUUGCAGGUCCUGGGAGAGGCCCAGCAAGCACCAGGCAGGACAUGAAGGAAAAGGCUGAGCUCUUGAGGGGCUUGUAGGAGAGUAAUUCUAGUCCCUUGCUGGACUUGGUGACACAAUCCAUGUUGGCUUGUGAAGCCCUUCCAGAGCUGCAGGCCCUUCAUGGGCACAGCAAAAAUGAAUAGUCCAAGAAUAUGUGCUUUCCACCUGCUUUUGCUUUGCAGUUGUUUU